rnacentral:lncRNA from 1 species
UUGGAAUAUGGGAUGGGGAUUUGGGGUUGGAAUAUGGGGUACGGAUUUGGGGUUGGAAUAUGGGAUGGGGAUCUGGGGUUGAAUAUGGGAUGGGGAUUUGGGGUUGGAAUAUGGGAUGGGGAUUUGGGGUCGGGAUUGGGUUCAGGUUUUCAGGUUGGGAUGUGGGCUCAUGUUAUGGGGUCAGGAUAUGGGCUCAGGUUAUGGGGUCAGGUUAUAAGGCCAGGAUGUGGGCUCAUGUUAUGGGGUCAGGAUGUGGGUUCAGGUUAUGGGCUCAUGUUAUGGGGUCAGGAUGUGGGUUCAGGUUAUGGGCUCAUGUUAUGGGGUCAGGAUGUGGGCUCCGGUUAUGGGGUCAGGAUGUGGGCUCAGGUUAUGGGCUCAGGUUAUGGUGUCCAGAUCUGGGCUCAGAUUAUGGGGUCUGGAUCUGGACUCAGGUUAUGGGGUCGUGUUAUGGGCUCAGAUUAUGGGGUCUGGAUCUGGGCUCAGGUUAUGGGGUCGUGUUAUGGGCUCAUGUUAUGGGCUCAGGUUAUGGGGCUGGGAUGUGGGCUCAGGUUAUGGGGUCCGGAUCUGGGCUCAGGUUGUGGGUUCAGGUUAUGGGGCUGGGAUGUGGGCUCAGGUUAUGGGGUCAGGUUAUGGGGUCGGGUUAUGGGCUCAGGUUAUGGGGCUGGGAUGUGGGCUCAGGUUAUGGGCUCAGGUUAUGGGCUCAGGUUAUGGGGUCGAGUUAUUGGGUCAGGUUAUGGGGUCGUGUUAUGGGCUCAGUUAUGGGGCCGGGUUCUGUGCUCAGUUAUGGGCUCAGUUAUGGGGUCGGGUUCUGGGCUCAGUUAUGGGGCCGGGAUGUGGGUUCAGGUUAUGGGGCUGGGUUCUGUGCUCAGGUUAUGGGGUCGGGUUAUGGGCUCAGUUAUGGGGCUGGGUUCUGGGCUCAGUUAUGGGCUCAGUUAUGGGGUCGGGAUGUGGGUUCAGGUUAUGGGGCCGGGUUCUGUGCUCAGGUUAUGGGGCCGGGUUCUGGGCUCAGUUAUGGGGUCAGGUUAUGGGCUCAGUUAUGGGGCCGGGUUCUGCGCUCAGUUCUGGGCUCAGUUCUGCGCUCAGUUCUGGGCUCAGUUCUGCGCUCAGUUCUGGGCUCAGUUCUGCGCUCAGUUCUGGGCUCGGUUCUGGGCUCGGUUCUGGGCCGGGUUGUGCGCUCAGUUCUGCCCCCCGCAGGACGGGACGCUGUUCGGGGCCGUGGGCGCGUACGACUGGGACGGCGCGGUGCUGCAGGACGGCAGCCGGGGGCGCAGCGUCCCGUCGCGGGAGCGGCUGCGCGCGGAGUUCCGCACCGGGCCGGAGAAGCACGCGGCCUACCUGGGUACCGCGCCGGCGGCAGCACUGCGCCAUGCGGGGCAGCGCGGGGCGCUGUGGGGCGGGGAUGCUCGGCGCUAUGGGGCAGCACUGGGCGCUAUGGGGCAGGGAUGCUCGGCGCUAUGGGGCAGCACUGGGCACUAUGGGGCAGCACUGGGCGCUAUGGGGCAGGACACUCAGCGCUAUGGGGCAGCUCUGGG